rnacentral:tRNA from 1 species
GUUUAAUUAAAACAUUACAUUUUCAAUGUAAAAAUAAAAAUUAUUUUUUUAUAAAUA